GUCUACGGCCAUCCCACCCUGAACGUGCCCGAUCUCGUCUGAUCUUGGAAGCUAAGCAAGGUCAGGCCUGGUUAAUACUUGGAUGGGAGAUCACCUAGGAGUACCAGGUGCUGUAGGCA
rnacentral:rRNA from 1 species